rnacentral:rRNA from 1 species
AUUGAACGCUGGCGGCAGGCCUAACACAUGCAAGUCGAGCGGAUGAGGUGAGCUUGCUCCCUGAUUUAGCGGCGGACGGGUGAGUAAUGCCUAGGAAUCUGCCUUGUAGUGGGGGAUAACGUUCCGAAAGGAACGCUAAUACCGCAUACGUCCUACGGGAGAAAGCAGGGGACCUUCGGGCCUUGCGCUAUCAGAUGAGCCUAGGUCGGAUUAGCUAGUUGGUGAGGUAAUGGCUCACCAAGGCGACGAUCCGUAACUGGUCUGAGAGGAUGAUCAGUCACACUGGAACUGAGACACGGUCCAGACUCCUACGGGAGGCAGCAGUGGGGAAUAUUGGACAAUGGGCGAAAGCCUGAUCCAGCCAUGCCGCGUGUGUGAAGAAGGUCUUCGGAUUGUAAAGCACUUUAAGUUGGGAGGAAGGGCUGCUGGUUAAUACCCUGCAGUUUUGACGUUACCAACAGAAUAAGCACCGGCUAACUUCGUG